rnacentral:rRNA from 1 species
CCUACGGGAGGCAGCAGUGGGGAAUAUUGGACAAUGAGGGGAACCCUGAUCCAGCCAUGCCGCGUGUGUGAAGAAGGCCCUCGGGUUGUAAAGCACUUUCAGUGAGGAAGAACGCCUGGUGGUUAAUACCCAUCAGGAAAGACAUCACUCACAGAAGAAGCACCGGCUAACUCCGUGCCAGCAGCCGCGGUAAUACGGAGGGUGCGAGCGUUAAUCGGAAUUACUGGGCGUAAAGCGCGCGUAGGUGGCUUGAUAAGCCGGUUGUGAAAGCCCCGGGCUCAACCUGGGAACGGCAUCCGGAACUGUCAAGCUAGAGUGCAGGAGAGGAAGGUAGAAUUCCCGGUGUAGCGGUGAAAUGCGUAGAGAUCGGGAGGAAUACCAGUGGCGAAGGCGGCCUUCUGGACUGACACUGACACUGAGGUGCGAAAGCGUGGGUAGCAAACAGGAUUAGAUACCCCAGUAGUC